GCGCCGCGCGUAGAGGAAGAGGAAAUGCCUAGCGGCGGACUGCCGCCGCUCGCCUGCGCGGCCCAUGGGGCCCCCGCACGUCCCCAACCCACGCCUGAGGCCUGCCUGAAUCCAUGCUGAUCCUCCAGGCAGCAACCACAGAAUUCACCAGUCUCUAGGAUCCAGAAGUGUUGACAACAACACCUGGGGCCCAUUGCAACUUCCUGUGACCCUAUCUCUUGAACCAGUGCUAGAGGCAGGGAACCAGGUACUGUUCUCCAUCAGAACCCAAGAAACUGCCAGGCUUGGAAAUGAAAGCUGUCAUCAUUAUGUACUCCAUCCAGAUCUAUUUCUCACCUCACAUAUCUCAGCCCCAGUCUGGUUUCAUGUGCAUGCCCAAGCACUCUUGAUGUGGACCUCAAUUAAAUCUGCCUUGUUUCCUUGGGAUCAGUCACUGUAGCACCAUCUUCAUGGAACACUAAACACUGUCAUCUCUCUUUGAGAGCCCACCCUGAUUUCUUUACUAAUCCUAGUUCACGACUGGUUCCUGCUUUUUUAACUUAACUUUGUUCCCUUCUUGCUGGUUCUGGGUGAUUGUUUAUAAAAAGUUCUGAAUGUUCUUUGGAUUGAUUCUUUAAAACCCAGUGCCCUGUCCCCUCUCCACUCUCCUCCCCCACUACUACUGCUCACCAUUCUAAUGCUGAGACCAGCUCUUCAGAACUCAGAUGGCAAACACCAGGGACUACUGGUCCAGACGUAUAAAUAGCAGCUUCUCCUACCCAAUAGAGUUCAUGCUCAUGUAAAGCACUUUAUAUGUCUAUACCCAGAAUAGUAUCCGACCAAAGUCAAGUCUCUAUAAGUGUUUCUUACAUUAUUCCAAAAUUAAGGAAAUGAAGCAGACAUUCUCUCUUGUACAAGAAUAUCUUUGGAAUAAAAAAUUAAG
rnacentral:lncRNA from 1 species